rnacentral:rRNA from 1 species
AAAGGAAUAGACGGGGACCCGCACAAGCAGCGGAGCAUGUGGUUUAAUUCGAAGCAACGCGAAGAACCUUACCAAGGCUUGACAUCCCCUUGACCGGUGCAGAGAUGUACCCUUCUCUUCGGAGACAAGGGAGACAGGUGGUGCAUGGUUGUCGUCAGCUCGUGUCGUGAGAUGUUGGGUUAAGUCCCGCAACGAGCGCAACCCUUAUCCUUAGUUGCCAGCACUUCGGGUGGGCACUCUAAGGAGACUGCCGGUGAUAAACCGGAGGAAGGUGGGGAUGACGUCAAAUCAUCAUGCCCCUUAUGUCUUGGGCUACACACGUGCUACAAUGGUCGGCACAACGGGCAGCGAAGGAGCGAUCCGGAGCAAAUCCCAAUAAACCGAUCCCAGUUCGGAUUGCAGGCUGCAACUCGCCUGCAUGAAGUCGGAGUUGCUAGUAAUCGCGAAUCAGCACGUCGCGGUGAAUGCGUUCCCGGGUCUUGUACACACCGCCCGU